AGAGAUUACAUGGAAUACCAAUUGCGAAGGCAGGUUACUACUAAUGGAUUGACGCUGAUGGACGAAAGCGUGGGUAGCGAACAGGAUUAGAUACCCUGG
rnacentral:rRNA from 1 species